rnacentral:misc_RNA from 1 species
UUUCCGUAGGUGAACCUGCGGAAGGAUCAUUAAUGAGUUGUCAUGGGGUUCGAUGCUGGCAGCCAAUCUUUGGAUGCAUGUGCUUGCCCUAACAAUCAUCUUCCAAACACCUGUGCACAUUUUUGAGGGAGUCUUGAGUUGGUUGCCGCUCUUGGGUGAUUUUCUCACAUUCCCUUAAAUCAUUAUACGCUAUUAACAAUGUUGAACGUGCUCUGUGCCGCAAGGCUAUUAAUAUAAUACAACUUUUAACAACGGAUCUCUUGGCUCUC